GAAAUGCGAUAAGUAAUGUGAAUUGCAGAAUUCAGUGAAUCAUCGAAUCUUUGAACGCACCUUGCGCUCCUUGGUAUUCCGAGGAGCAUGCCUGUUUGAGUGUCAUUAAAUUCUCAAUUUCUACAGCCUUUGUGUUGCUAGCAAAUUGGAUGUGGGGGGCUUAAAUGUGGGUCUUUCAGUAGCCCCACUCCCCUGAAAUGAAUUAGCUGGAAUGCCUUUGCGAAUCCAACUAUCAGUGUGAUAAUUAUCUAUGCUGGAGUUGUUGCAUGAGGGAAUCCGCUUCUCAAUAGUCGCAAGACAAUAUGAAUCAUUUUGACCUCAAAUCAGGUAGGACUACCCGCUGAACUUAA
rnacentral:misc_RNA from 1 species